AUUGAACGCUGGCGGCAUGCCUUACACAUGCAAGUCGAACGGCAGCACGGGUGCUUGCACCUGGUGGCGAGUGGCGAACGGGUGAGUAAUACAUCGGAACAUGUCCUGUAGUGGGGGAUAGCCCGGCGAAAGCCGGAUUAAUACCGCAUACGAUCUACGGAUGAAAGCGGGGGACCUGCGGGCCUCGCGCUAUAGGGUUGGCCGAUGGCUGAUUAGCUAGUUGGUGGGGUAAAGGCCUACCAAGGCGACGAUCAGUAGCUGGUCUGAGAGGACGACCAGCCACACUGGGACUGAGACACGGCCCAGACUCCUACGGGAGGCAGCAGUGGGGAAUUUUGGACAAUGGGCGAAAGCCUGAUCCAGCAAUGCCGCGUGUGUGAAGAAGGCCUUCGGGUUGUAAAGCACUUUUGUCCGGAAAGAAAUCCUUGGCUCUAAUACAGUCGGGGGAUGACGGUACCGGAAGAAUAAGCACCGGCUAACUACGUG
rnacentral:rRNA from 1 species